rnacentral:rRNA from 1 species
UACGUAGGGUGCAAGCGUUGUCCGGAAUUAUUGGGCGUAAAGAGCUCGUAGGCGGUUUGUCGCGUCUGCUGUGAAAAUCCAGGGCUUAACCCUGGACCUGCAGUGGGUACGGGCAGACUAGAGUGCGGUAGGGGAGAUCGGAAUUCCUGGUGUAGCGGUGAAAUGCGUAGAUAUCAGGAGGAACACCUGUGGUGUAGACAGCUUACUGGACCAUCACUGACGCUGAGGUACGAAAGCGUGGGUAGCAAACAGG